AUCCAUUUUACUAUAGCUCAGUUGGUUAGAGCGUGGCGCUGAUAACACCAAGUCUGCAGGUUCAAUCCCCAUAUGGGACA